GAUUUAAUGUCUUUAUUUUAUGAAUUUAUGCUUAUUAUUUAGGUGUGUAUCUUAGUUUUAUUUAUGCAUUUAGAUAUUUAUUCAUUUCACAAACUUUGCAAAAUUUUCAAAAAAAAAAAAAUGUAGCAAUAGGCUGUUAUUUUAAUGAACUACAGCCAUUACAAGCCAGUUUUGGUUGCCUGCUGCUAUUUGAAUCUGUGUCAAGAACUUCUUUCCAUAUGCUUUCGAGAUUAUCUUAUUUACCUCAUCCAUUUGUUAAAAUGUGGGAGCCUUUCUUUUUCAACUUAUUUAGGCGUGUACAAUUGCUUUCUAGAGACUAUUUUUCAGCCCUUGUUUAUCACUAUUCAGCCCAACAUGCCUAGCUAUUUUUCGUACUUGGGCUCCAAUGGUGGAUGCUAUAUACAUGUGGAUCCAUGCGACAAAGUCUUAUUUUGGCUGUCAUCUUUGCUACUUGGGCUUGGGUAUGGGUGUUGGAAAUGGAUACACAUCCAUGUGUUAGACUUGUAAACUUUCUAAAUAGAAAAUACUAGGUUAUGAUAAAAGUUUAGACAUGAGAGUUUAGAUGCGUUAUGUAAAUGAAAUAAAAUAAAAGGUAUAAAAUUGUGUAAUAGUGACUACUAUGAAUUAUGUUUGUGCCUAAUUCAUUUUUCAGUAUUACUUGGCUUAAUUUAUUUAUAAAAAAAUUAAGAAUUAAUUUAAUAUAUUACUUAAUUAAUAUGUGUUGACUUAUUUGCUAAUCCUAAUUGAUUCUAGGGAUUUGAUUUGAUUUGAUUAGGAUCCUUAAUUAUCUCUGUAAUUAUUAUUUGAUUAUUUGCUUCCUGUUUAGAUAUGAUUCUUUGUGUAUAAAUAGCCAUGUAGACAUAUUGUACAAAUCAAGAGUGAAAUACAAGAAUACUCAAUAUUCUUCCAAAAAUCUUCAAUAUGAUAUAUUAAAUAUAUCCUUAAAAUUUUUUAAGGGUCAUUUUAUUGUUGUUAGUAGAACAUAUAUAUAUAUAUAUUUUUAAAAAAUAUAGUCAAUGAUCUUUUCAUUUCCUAAGGAUUCUUACAUUUUCAAUGAUUUAUCAAUUGAAACACUCAGUCCAAGAAGCACUUGCUUGCGAUGCCAAUAGUCCACUAUACUACCUACUUCAUUAACAUAGAAAAAUAAACAAGUCAAGGGUUUUGCCAGAACCAAAUUUUCUGCCCAUGGUUUCUACUCCUUUUGGAUGCUCCUUUGCCAGAACCAAAUUUUCUGCCCAUGGUUUCUACUCCUUUUGGAUGCUCUUUUAUGUUCGCUGCUACUUCUUUUGGAUCUAAAUGUUGCUAUUACUCCUUCUGGGUUUGGUCUUAUUGCAUCUUCUGGUGUUAACCUUCUUUUUUCGGUUCCAGAAGCCCCUAUGUCUAGGGGAGCAUUCAGUCGGUUUUUGGAACUGAAUUUCAAAUUGAAUUGAAAAAAAUGCUAACCGAACUAUAUCGAAUUGAGGAAGGAACUGAAUUGAAAUGAAUUGAACCACAUUGAUUCGGACAAUCGCAAAACCUUAAGAACUUCCAUUCGUUUAGGUAAAACAGUGCCGUAAUAGAAGGGGCAAAAACAAUGAGUCAAUAUUCUCGUAGUCUUAACUCCCUAAAAUCAACAAUUACCCAGUAGAAAUCAAAGAUAUUUCUCAAAUUUGACAUCUCUGCAAAAGGAAGAAACAAAUUAAGACAAAGCCUUAGCUUAAUAAUCAACACAGCAACAUUCAAUCGACAUUUAACAAAUACCAAGAAUUAUAGAGGCCAACCCAACUCACAAUAAUAAUAUGGAGGAGAGGAGGAGGAGCUUGAAGUGAGACGCAGCAGUGAAUUUGGGAUUGGCAAAUGCCCAUAAAGCCCUGAGCCCCAAGUUGAUGAGUGAUGACUAGAUGCCCAUAAAAGGGAUUGAUUAAGCCUGUGGGAUGUAUGCAUGACUGGUUUUGACCGAGACCAAUGGGGAUCGAUCAUGGAUGGCUGUCAGGUGGGACAAGCGAUCGAUUGAGCAAGUCGACUAAGUAGAGAGAGGCAACAAAAGGAAUCGAUUGAGCAAGUCGACUAAGUAGGGAGAGGCAACAGAAGGUAUCAAUUGAGCAAGGGGAGGAGAGAGAAUCAUGUGAGAAGGGAAGUCUCUAACUCUUGUUAGGUUUUAGUAGUAGAAGGGAAACAAGGGGAUGGGAUUGAUGGACUUUCUCAGUGGCUGGGCAAAUGAGCUGGAAAAGUCAUCUCAAAUCCAUAAAGCUUCUUUUAAAUCGGUUGGUUUGGUUUUUUCCAUUAAUUUUGGUUAAUUAACCAAACCGAACUGAAAAUUGAAUUUAUUAUAAAUUGAUAACUACUGAGCCGAUCAGACUAAUUAACCAAAAUCAAAUUGAUCUGGUUCGUUGCAGUUUUUUGGCUUCGGGUGUGAUUUCUUCCAUGAUAGUGAAUCACUACAAGUUUAGAUGUAUGUACUGCUGAAUGGACAAUCUUCUUCUUCUGGAAAGUAAACGAGUGUGUCAGAAUGCAUGAUUAUGUAUAGACAAAUAUCAUGUUGUUUGUUGUGUCCGGUUGAUGUGGUUAUGACAUGGCAAAUGAAGAGGCAAGAGUAUUAGGGGCUGUCACCCAAUGGAACCCUUUUUUGUUUGGGCAUGGGACUUGUUGUAUAAGUCUAAUAGAUGUUAUGCUUAUUUCCAGUCAUUAACCCCAAAAAAGACCUAGAAUAUAAACAAACGUAAUACGCAAAGUUGUUUGAAGUCAUUAACUACCCAAAAAGAGAACUUAGAAACAAAAUAAAAAUGGGGGGCAUCUUCUCAUGUCCAAAUUAUUCUUCUGUGACUGUAUAAAGCUUGAAACAACAGUUGCCUAUCAUCUUUUUAAACUUGAUCAGUUACAAAUCUAAUUGGACACUAUUGUUAAUAAACAUAUAUGGAAGCUGAGCCGUGUAAAAUUAUGUUAUUAUUAUACAAAUUUGAGUUUUUCAUAUUCCUGAUUGCAUAUACCUGUUUAUAUGAUGCCAAAUGGUUUUUUUAGAUAAUGUAAAGAGAUACAGAAAUGGAGAACACUUUCGUCUUCUUGGUAUUUGAGAUCCCAAAUCCAUAGUGCCAUGUAUAUUUGUAAAUAGUAUUGUCUAGUACAUUGACAGUGUUAAAUUUAGGCCAGGCUUAACUCAUCCCAAACCCUAGCUCAAGGGGGAAGAGUGCUUAUGGCCUGGAACACAUUAUCCCUUUCCACAACUAAUGUGGGAUUCAACACACCCCUCACGCCUAGAAUUUUAUGAAUUUUACUGGUGCAUGACAUAUUUAUGGGAGGCCCAAUAUCGGAUGGGAGGCUCUGAUACCAUGUUAAAUUUGGGUUAUGCCUAAGUCACCCUAAAAGCUAGCUCAAGGGGG
rnacentral:lncRNA from 1 species